AACAGAUUUGGUCUCCCCAUACAGCGAUCAGAUCAGUAUCUUCCGUACGUCCAUGCUGGCGCUCUUUUGGAAUUCAGGCACUGCUUGGUCACC